GUGUCAGCCGCCGCGGUAAUACGAAGGGGGCUAGCGUUGUUCGGAAUCACUGGGCGUAAAGCGCACGUAGGCGGAUCGUUAAGUCGGGGGUGAAAUCCCGAGGCUCAACCUCGGAACUGCCUUCGAUACUGGCGAUCUUUGAGUCCGGGAGAGGUGAGUGGAACUCCGAGUGUAGAGGUGAAAUUCGUAGAUAUUCGGAAGAACACCAGUGGCGAAGGCGGCUCACUGGCCCGGUACUGACGCUGAGGUGCGAAAGCGUGGGGAGCAAACAGGAUUAGAUACCCCCGUAGUCC
rnacentral:rRNA from 1 species